GCGUCGCCGGGCGCCGCGAGCCCCCCGCCGGGUGGCCGAGGUAAGGAGGGGAAGAUGGCGGAGUGAGAGGAAGAGGCGGAGAGGCCGGGACCGGCCGCGGGCCCGCGGCCUCGGCCGCGCUCAGGCUCACUGAAGGAAAUGAGGACUGAUCAAAAAUAACGGUCCCCAGCUCCGUUUUUCCCCAUCUUCAUAACAAGAAUAAGACUUUCCCAACAGUGUGAGCAUGGAUGGUCAAGCUCACGAUCAGCUAAAAUAUUUGAGUGCCUCAGAGAGAAAAUGAUGGUGAUGUGUGCUCUAUUUCCAUUUUCAUGAUCUGCUCACUACUGCUAACAUAGGAGUUGAAAAUUGUCACUGGAAGAUUAUUGCUGAACUUGAUCAACUGAAGGGUUAAGAUCCUCUCUCAACCUUCAAGAAGAAGGCGGUCCUGUUGCUUGCUCAUAGGCUGCGAGAUGUGGAUGUUUCUCUUCUAGCAAGCAAAAACCUGUCCUUCACUUCCAUGGAGCUGAACGAACAAAGAUCUCUCCACCUCCUGUUUCAACCAUCUCACCCAACAUUUGAUUCACCAGAUGACUUUUCCCACAGAAGUACCCCACUGUUUUAUCUAAACUCAAAAGCAGAGUAACAGAAAUCAGCAUUUGCUUCCUGAAGAAAUGUCUUCUGUGCCAGCUCUUCAUCCAGCUUUCUGCAUUCUGUUUUAAAAUGAGAAAUACUUUGUAAUCAGAUGCAAUUGGAAGCUGGUGUUUUUCAUCGAUAUCUCCUUCUUCAUUUUAGGAAGGUUAAGUAUUUCACUGUGUCAUUGGAAUUCUGAGCAGAUGAAGUGUCUGCAUGCAU